GGGGAAGGGAACCGGAAGCUGCAGGAGGUCCGGGGAAAGCCACUUCCGCUGGUCUCGGAAAGUUGCCGCAGUACUUCGUAGGUGAAGAAGAGAGGCAAUAGAGGGUUGGAGGCUGAUGCUACUAGAAGUGUGACCAUGGGGUCAUGAAGAUUCAUAAAUGACUGAACAACUGAACAGCAACAAGGAAUGUACAGAGUCUAUUGGGAGUUGGAAGAAGCCUGGACACAGGAAGAUUAAUCGGGAAGCUCCAUAGUGAUGAGUGAAAACCAAGUCUGGGUGGUGGUAGACUGAAAAAUGUUCAUUUUUGGAAAGGAGUUUUAGGACAUAAAGCCCAACCUACACUUGAACAAGAGUCCUUUCUACAAUAUAGUUGAAAAUUAGUCAUCAGAAAUGGACAGAGGAUGGAAAGAGAGGAACAGUGAGCAGGCCAGUGUCACUCAGUUGUGGAGUACAGGAAAGGGGAGUCAAAGCAGAAGAAGGAAGGGGCCAUGUUGUGGAGAGUAUUAAAGGCCAAACAAGAAUUGUCUAUUUGACGAUAGACAGUAAGUGAAAGGGAAGGGAUGAUAUGGCCAUACCUAUGUUAGGAAGAUCAUGUUGGUAGCAGAGUGAAGAUGGGCUGGAGUAGGGAGAGACUUGAGGCAGGGAGACCCACCAGAAAGGUAUCUCAGUAGUCUAGUGAUGUGAUAAGGGUCUGCACCUGGGAGGUGGGAAGGGGAAGAACCCUCAGGUGUUAUGAAGGUAGAAUUGGCAGGACUUGGCAGCAGAUUGGUUAUGGGGUGAGGAGUCAAGGAUGACACCUAGGGUAUGAGCAUGGAGGCUGAAGGGCAUAGUAAAUAGAGAGCCAGCCUCAGAGUCAGGACAAGCUAGGUUCAAGUCCCACUUCUGACUCAGGCUGUGUGACUCUAGACCAGAUCUAGCAACCUCUCAGUGCCUCCAGGCAACUCUAACAUUGUAAGGUGCAGAGUAGGUGCUGAUCCAAAGGGAGUGUCUUAUACCAGUGAAAUUCAAAGGUCCAAUUCAAAAAGAAAAAUCCUCCCAUACCUAGCAUGGGGCUUUGUGCCAGUGAUAAGCAUUUAAUUAAUGGCUGCUGAAUGACAGAGUAUCAGAGAUUGUAGUUCUUUGGUACUUAGGACUCAAGAAUGAUCUGACUUCUGCACAUUAUUUUGUAAAUUAAGAACAGAAUGCAUAUAUUUGUUGUAAAACAGCAAGUGUGUAUGUGUGUGUGUGUGUGUUGUGUGUGUGUGUGUGUGUACACUGCAUGUAGGCAGCAAUCCGUGGUAGGCUGGCCAGCACAAUUCAAUGACUGAAAUAUAUUUAGCAUACUUCUUUUUCUCUGAAAAUUUUUAAUGCAUAUCAUUAAACCUUCUUGCUAUGUUAACUGCAUUAUCAUAUGAUAUGUGAUUCAAUCUUUUAACACAUUUUAUAAAACGUGAAAUUUUGUAAAGUUUUGGUACUUUUAUGGCUCUUUGUAAUGCCUUCUUUAGCUGGUGGGUCAAUCUGGCACUGAACCUUAUAAAAUAUGACUAGGUGGGUGUGGGUGUGGGUGUAUGGUAUUUGCUUUGAAACCUUACAUGAAUAGGUUGAUGACAACUUUAUUAAAUGAAAAGGGCGCUCACAUGGAGGGCUGCAUUCCAAUGAUUUAUAACAAGACUGAGAAUCCCAGAUAAACGAAAACAUUCAGAAGAAAAACUGAAAGAUGUUGGAAGAUAAAUAUGGCUCUAAAGGCUGUCCAAAAGCUGCUUCAAAUAGACUAUUACUACCAGUUGGACAGAGUCAUCAGAACAGGACUACACUAACAUAAAACAAAUUUUUCUAACAUCAAAAG